rnacentral:rRNA from 1 species
UUUCUUUCCGUAAAAAGAAGAAGAAAGAAAACCCCUCUUGUCCACUGCAUAUUGCUCCUAAAGGAGGACCCCCAAACCCUAGCUUUAUCAAGGAUCCCGUCCCAAGCGGCGGCGGCGCAUAGAGAUGAAGCGCAAGAACAAGGAGCAGAGGAGGGCAGAUGGAAUCACCGAUAGAGGCAGUGAUUCGCUGGAGACCAUGCGGCCGAACAAGAAGCAGAGGUUGGGCGGUGGCAGCGGUAGCGAUGAGGAGACCUCGCCCUACCUGGUGGUAGGUCAUGGGAGCGUGAGCCCUGCCUUCUCCGUGUUCAAGGUGGAACCCUACACCGACGGCGGCGGCGACACCCCGGUGAGCAUCCCGCGCCGCCUCGCCCGCCUCAAAUGCAAACACAACAUGUCUUUCGUCCCUUUGAGAUUGAAGGACCGCCGGUGGAUCGUCGGCGUCGGCGGCAGCUCAACCGAGAACUACUACGGCCCGGGGACCAUCAUUUUCGACACCGAGAAGCAGUUGGUGAUCCGGGGACCGGAACCUAAGUCGAUCAAGAGCCACCCGAUCCUGCUACCCAUCGACCAGAAGAUCUACGCCCUUUCCCGAAGCCCCUCAGUGAAGGGACCGCUCGAUUACUUGCCCUGGUUCGAGGUCCUCGAUCUCUCCCAGGCACAGGAAGUUGACGGCUGUCUAACCAACUGCAAGUGGAGCUCCCUGCAGCGGCCGCCCUUCUUUCCCUGGGAGCUCACCCCACGGCAGUACUUAUGUCCACCGAGGGUUGCCGUCGAGUCAUACGUCGCCGUGGGCUCCCACAUACUGGUUUCUGUGACCGGACGGGUGGGCACGUACGCUUUUGACACGAAGGGCUCGAAGAAGUGGGUGACGGUGGAUGACGAGAACAACCUGCCGUUCAGCGAUGGUGCCAUCCCGCACGGAGGUGGGCUCUUCCUCGGCUUAUCAAGCACCACAAAGGCCAUCACUGGAUACAAGAUUAAUAUCGGCACUAGGUCACUCUCUGUUGUUGAGAUUCCUGUGGUGUCCGACUUGGAAGAUGAAGAGCUGGUCGGUCGCUCACACAAUUUUCUUUCCCUGGGGAUUGAUAGUGGCUUCUGCUUGGUGACCUGUUGGAGUGUUGACGAAUCGCCGUAUCCCCCGUAUCACCGGGCGCACAUCAGGGUGAGGACGUACAGAACAGAUGAUUUUGUGGAGUCGGAGGGAAAAUGCUUAGUCGUCUCCAAGCAGUGGAUGCAGGUUUACAAGAUCCGCGAUUUGAUCCGGACACUAGAUGCGCCAUGUCUGGUUGGUGUGGUCUACAUAUGAGUACUAAGCCUGACCUGGGAGGUUCGUAUAUGGAGAUCCUCUGAUGUCUUUGGGAGCUGCAAACAGGCUUUUCUGAUCGUGUAUUAUAUAUUUGUGCUGAAUAUCUCAUAUGCACACAGCGCUUAACCGAACUUCAGACUUAGAAAGGAGUUUUUUGUCGUUUAUGUCUAAUUUCCUUUUCCUUGUUUUCACCAUGCUAUCUGUAACAAUUCCAUGUAUGUCUCUUGGCUUGUGAAAACUUAACUUACAGUUUCCUUGUUUGAGUAAUAGACUAAAUUCUGAUAAUUGUGUAAAAGAAAAG